UACGUAGGGUGCAGGCGUUAAUCGGAAUUACUGGGCGUAAAGCGUGCGCAGGCGGCUUCCUAAGUCAGAUGUGAAAUCCCCGGGCUUAACCUGGGAACUGCGUUUGAAACUGGGAGGCUCGAGUGCGGCAGAGGGGGGUGGAAUUCCACGUGUAGCAGUGAAAUGCGUAGAUAUCGUUUGGAACGCCAAUGGUGAAAACAGACAGCUGGGAGUGUGCUGACGCUGAGACACGAAAGCGUGGGGAGCAAACAGG
rnacentral:rRNA from 1 species